AUACAAGGGCUUCCAUGAUACUUUUACCAACACUUUUGCCAUCCAAUUAUAAAACCAAACAUUCAGCCACAACAACAAUGUUAUACUAGAAGCAAUGCUAAAUAAAACACUUUUUCCAUCCAAUUAUAGAACCAAACAAAGAAGCCGCGUGUUAGGUGCUUUCCAAAAAUACUUUUCAAGUAUGCUCAAGUAGAAGCAAGGCAAUAGAACCAAACAAUGAAGCUAGAUGCUAUGUACUUUUCAAAAGCACUUUUCAACUGAUAUUAAAGGUAAAAAGACCUCUCCAGUCACUAUCAAUUUCGAAAUUGAACAAAUUGGUCCCUCUCAAAAAACAAUCAAAGCAAUUUAAUCCUCGUCAAUUUCGAAAGUGUGCAACUAAUGUCAAUUAAUUUCGGAUUUGAUGUUUUCCAUCAAUCGUACUUGAUUAUAAUUGGUAUAAUAAUUUUAGCCCUCAAAGAUUACAUAUUCUAUCAAUUUGGUCUUAAUUUAACAAACUUAUCCCGCAACAUAUGUGUAAAUGUUGAGGUUGAAUUUAUUGAAUUUUUUAAAAUUAAGGCUAAAAUGGAAAAAUAUGUAAUCAUCCGAGGCUAAAUUUGUUAUUAUAUCAAUCAAAAUAUAUACAAUUGACAGAAAACACACAGUCAUUAAUUGUCCUUAGUUGCUCCCCUUCAAAAAAUUAACAGCUAUUAAAUUGCUUCAAUUUCUUUGACAGGAAUCAAUUUGCACAAUUUUGAAAUUGGGAGGGACUGGAGAGGUCUUUUUACCAAUAUUAAACUAGGGAAGAAAAGAAACCUCGGAUUAAGUAAUUGCAGCAAUCGAUGACGUCUUUCCUCUGGUAUGUCUUCAAUUUUUUUCCUGAAGAAGAAGAGAACAUGAUUUCCAUUACAAAUCCUAUAAUAUAACUAAAGAAACAAACAAAAAGCAAGAAAAAAUGUAAAAUGAGAAGAGCUAAACCAGAGAUAGGCAGCUGGAUUAUAAGAACCAGGAUCCAAAGGAAUCAAAUAGUUAGGAGGAUCAAGAAACGUAACGACAUCCAUUUCUUCCAAGUAAGGUUCAAACGACGUCGUCUCCGAAGCUCCAUUCACCCCUGCUCUAGCUCCAACUGAAAUCUUCCUUCCACCGCAAAAUCUUAGACCUGAAAUUCAGAAAUCACAAAACCACACUAAAACACAGUACUAGCUUGCAUGAUUUUAGUAAUAUUAAAUGGAAACGAAACUGACCUGGAAACGAGGAUAGGCCAAGAGCCGGCGGUGAGUGUGAAGAUGAGCUGAUUGAAAUCAGGCAUCCGCCGCUUGGUCUCGAGCAAAUAGGCGUCACAAAAGAUAAAGGAGUGUUAUAGCUUCCAAUAGAAACCCUCAUACUUAUCUCGAUUCCAACACUAACCUCUCUUGCAGUUGCAUCUAAAAUUGUGCUUAAAAUUUUCAACUAUAUCAUCUCAUAUGCUGCAAAUCUUUGAAUCUUUUGGUUUCUCCCUCGCUUUUCACUUGCACUCAAGCUUCCAAUUUGUGUUCUUUUUUAUUUAUUUAUUUGAAUUUCAUUUUCUCUGUAAUAUGGUUAAAUAUCCGGUAUCACUGAACUAUUACUAAAUUUAAAUUUUGUAGUGUAACUUAAAAAAAUUAUAAAAUUACUAUUGAAUUAUUUUAAAAUUUUUAUUUAAAUUAUUAAAAUUCUCUUUUAAAUUUAAUUCACAAGUUUCAAAGGAGAAAAAGUUAUUUAGAUUUUAAUUUAUAAAUUUGUGAGGUCGACGGUUAUUUUAUGAAAAAAAUUGAAAUGUAGAAGAGAAGGAAAAUAAAGCUUUUGAUUAAUAUAAGCGGUGCAAAUAAUUAGGGGUGAAGCUAAAAAAAAUUUUAGCGGUCGAAAUUAAAUUGUAAUUUUUAAUAACCUAUAUUUUUAUAAUUUUUUAAAAUAUUAAAUUAUUUUUUAUUAGUUUUAAAAAAUUAAAUAAAUUUUUUAUUAUUUUUAGGGGUCAAAAUAUAAUUUUACCUUUCCUAAUAUUAAAUUUUCUAAAGGACCUAAACAUAUUUACUUGGUUGAUUUUUCGUAGAUUGGUUUACCAAUAUCCUAAUGGUGUUAACACAAGGUACCAUAAUAAAACACAUAUUGAUAGUUUAAGUAUCAGCAAACAUUUUUAAAGUAUAGAUAUAAAAUUAGAUAUUUUAUGAAAGUAAAUAUAUCAUAAUAAAAUAUAUAUUGAUAGUUUAAGUACUGCAUUGAAUACUUUUAAAGUAUAGAUAUUAUAUUAAACAUUUCAUAACGUACAGGUAUAAAAAAUUAAUAAGGUUGUUAGACAAGUUAAAUUAUUAAUUUAUUUUUAAAAUAUUUGAUUAUUCGUUACAGAAAUCAGAAAAUGUCUUCUAAUAAUGAAGACUAUUAUUAUCAAGAAAUAAAAAAGAAUUAUUAUUUGGCUUUCUUUGUAACCGCGGCCACCUGCUGCCUAUCUGCUUUCCACCCAAGUCACCAACUGUCUUCCAUGGCUGGACUCUUCUGAAGUUCCCAAACUGCCCUUCCAUCCAUUUCUUGCCUUUCAUCUCCCACAAAACCUAUUGCUCGAGCUCCGUUCGAUCUGAUUUUCAGCUGAAAGGAAGAACCAAGAAGGAAAUGGCGACGGCGAAGGCGAAAACGGGACGAUCCACGCGACCAACGGCGCCUCCGAAAGAAAACGGCGCGAAGAUCGAGGAAGGCCUUAACGUUUUCAAAUCCGAUGAUUUCGACGCCGAUGCUUUUGUUCAGUCCAAGUGUUCUCUCGACGACAAGGUUUCUUUGUUCUAUUUUCUUUGCGUUUCUUUUUCUUAAAAGGAAUCUCAGUUUUUAACUAUGAAACGGUUUCGUUGCUUCCUUUAGGAAAUAAGACAAUUAUGUUCGUAUCUGUUGGAUUUGAAGAGAGCUUCUGCUGAAGAAAUGCGUAAAAGUGUGUAUGCUAAUUACCCCGCCUUUAUACGGUGAGAUGUUUUAGCUUUCCUCAACUCUGCUCUGUUAUUCUCUUUGUUGUUGCUAAAUCAAAUUAAUUACUAAUGCAAUUUACUUUUAUUUGUUUAUUGAAACUAGAAGAAAAAAGAAAGAAAGGAGAUCAUAUCGGCAUUUCCUCUGCUCUACCUACUACAAUAGUUUUUGUUGUAGUGCUCUCAUAAAAUUACUGCUUAUUUGACCCAAUUUCAUUUGAUUCUUGCUUCUCUUGUUUCAAUUAAGGAUUCAGUUAGCUAGAUCUUGUGAACAAGAAAAACGUCUUUCCCGCCUAACACAAAAUCAUGUAACCGCACAUCCUUUCUUUGGUUCUCAAUUCAGUUACUCCCCCAAAUCCCUUUCUAUCAAAAUUCCUAUCAUUCGUAAACCAUCGAGCUUCAAUGUAGAGGAUGGAAUCUUAUCCUAUCAGACUCGAUAUUUUGAGUAGAUACAUACAUGCAUAUAUAUAUAUAUACUUCUUUGUUCUGAAGAAUUAAUUCUGAAUUGUAUAUUAUCUCUUUAGAAGCAUUGAUAAAGACAGUUAACAUGGCUACAUUCAUAGAAAUUCUAGAGGUGUUACAUUUAAGGGUUCAUGUUGGGUGGGAAGUUGAACCUUGGCCUGGAAUUUUCCAAUCAGAAAGGGUUGGGAACUGACCAUGAAGUCAAAGUCUCUGAGAGGUUUUGUAAAUGGAACUUCUUUUUGUUGGAAUCCUCUGAAGGGAAGGAGGAGAGGAUUUUGAUAUCUUUGCUUACUGUUGAUGACAUUAGUCUUUAGAGGAGACUAGCACUGUAGAAAUUGAAUGGGGUUUGGACUUUUAAGACAUUUGGUCUUCUUUCCUGCAGCACAUCUAAGGAGAUAUCUGAUUUAGAAGGAGAGCUUUCAUCUAUAAGAAAUUUGCUGUCAACACAAGCAACAUUGAUUCAUAGUUUGGCUGAGGGAGUUCACAUAGAUUUGUCUUCUCCUAAAGCUUCUGAAGAUCCUACAGCUAAUGGCAUCUUAAAUAUUGAAGAUAGUGAGCCUUCGGAUCUGGAGAAAUGGUCAGUCGAAUUCCCUGAUCUCCUGGAUGUUUUGUUAGCUGAGAAGAGGGUAGAUGAAGCUCUGGCAGCACUUGAUGAAGGACAGCAUGCGGUAGCCGAAGGGAAGGAAAAAAAUUCAUUGAGUCCUGAGGCAUUUGCAUCUCUAGAGACUGCCAUUAUAGAGCGCAAGCAAAAGUUGGCUGACCAGCUUGCUGAGGCUGCUUGUCAACCCUCUACACAUGGUGCUGAACUUCGUGCAGCAAUAUUAGCUCUUAAAAAGCUUGGUGAUGGACCACGUGCUCAUACUUUGCUCCUUAAUGCACAUUUCCAAAGAUAUCAAUAUAACAUGCUUAGCCUUCACCCAUCAAGUACCUCAUAUGGAGGAGCAUAUACUGCUGCUCUCUCACAGUUGGUGUUUUCUGCCAUUGCUCAAGCUGCUAGUGAUUCCAUGGGUAUUUUUGGUGAGGAACCUUCUUAUACUUCGGAGCUUGUAAUGUGGGCUACAAAGCAAACAGAGGCUUUUGCGCUUCUUGUUAAAAGACAUACAUUGGCUUCUUCAGCAGCUGCUGGUGGUCUAAGGGCUGCUGCAGAAUGUGUUCAGAUAGCUUUAGGUCAUUGCUCAUUGUUGGAAGCUCGUGGCUUGGCACUUUGUCCUGUGCUUUUGAGACUCUUUAGACCUAGUGUUGAGCAGGCGCUCAAUGCUAAUCUGAAAAGAAUUGAAGAAAGCACUGCAGCUUUGGCUGCUGCUGAUGAUUGGGUGCUAACCUACCCCCCAGGUGGUACUAGGCAAUCUGGCUGGUCCUCUAGUUUAUCCGUUGGUAAUACAACAAUAUUUCAACAUAAACUUACGAGUAGUGCUCAUCGAUUCAAUUCAAUGGUCCAGGUGAACCAUUUAAUUUAAUAUAAAUAUAUCUUUGUCUUUUGUGUUUGUUGUGGAUGAACAAAUAUUUUUCCUAAGAAGUGGUUCCUUCACAUGAUAAUUGGAAAUCAAAAUUUGCAACAUAAAAAUGCAGUUAAGAUGUUAGCCUUUUGACACCUAGUAUAUUUUUUAACCAUUUGAUCAUGCUGGUUUAGAACUUACUUUGGAAUAUUUAUUUUGUUCCUAUGUGGUUUUAACGAGUCUUUACCUCUCUCUUUAAAUGUUUUGGGAUUUCUUCUAAUAAAAAUUCACUGUGCUGUUAAUUUUUUUUCCUCCAAUACAAUCACCCUUUGACAUGGUUCCUUGCCUGUUUUCAACAAAGUGUUUCCCAACUGCCUGCCUAUCUGUCUCUUGUUUUGGUUGAUUAGUAUUUCUCAAAUUUUGAUAUGUCAAACUGCUAAUUAAUGUUGUUUGAUGCCAUUUUCUUUGAUAUGAUAUUUAUUGGUCUUUAUUGAGGUGUAUUAGUUCAUUUCAACUCCAGUAUUAUAUCUCACUUGGUUAACAGUCGGGGGGUUGUAGAUUGAUGUUUUAUGCACUUCUCUUUGUUCAUUUUGUCAUCUAAUGGGAUUUAAUCCUUUCAUUAAUUAUGACAUCUAUUCUGCUUCCUAUUGUAGGAUUUCUUCGAGGAUGUUGGACAACUAUUAAGCAUGGAGUUGGGAGGGCAAACACUGGAAGGUUUGUUUCGAGUGUUUGACUCGUAUGUAAAUAUGCUCAUUAAAGCAUUACCCGGUUUGAUGGAUGAAGAAGCGAACUUUGAGGAUACUGGAAAUAAAAUUGUUCGAAUGGCUGAGACUGAGGCCCAACAAAUUGCAUUGCUAGCAAAUGCAUCAUUGUUGGCAGAUGAACUUCUUCCACGAGCUGCCAUGAAGCUGUCCCCAAAUCUGGCUAGUUACAAGGAUGACCAAUGUAGAAGAACUUCAGAUAGGCAAAACCGUCAUCCUGAGCAACGAGAAUGGAAGAGGCGCCUUGUGAAUUCAGUUGAGAGACUAAAGAAUAAGUUUUGUCAACAACAUGCCCUAGAUCUCAUUUUCACAGAAGAGGGUGAUAGCCAUUUUACUGCAGAAAUGUACAUUAAUAUGGAUAGUACUACAGAUGAGGUGGAAUGGUUCCCAUCUCUAAUAUUUCAGGUGAUUUUGAUGAUUCUUUAUGUAUAUAUUUCAGAUGAAAUACAUUUUCUCUUCGUGCUUUGUUUAUUUAGUUUGAACAGGUUUCUUAAUUUACCACUCAACUUUGCUUUUAACAUCUCAUAGCACCUUGUUCAUAAGGUUAUAUUUCUUAUUUCUCACUUCAGAUUUUGAAAUCUUUGUCGAUUAAUAAUAACUGAUUUGUAUGUCAUACUUGAUGCAGCUUUUAUUCAAUGUUUUUAGUAUGUUGGUUAGAGAGUUCUCACAUGCUGGGAAAAACUGUUGUUUGCUGUAGUUUUGUUCUUGUUUAGGCUUUGUUAAUGGCCGUAGUUUAUGGUAUCAUAUUUGCAAAAUCCUAGUGAAUGAGGGAGGAGUCUUGGGAGCUCCAUGUAAAUACCUGUACAAAAUCAUGUUUUCUACUAGAUUUUGGGUAAACAAAACUACAAGGUAACAAAUGGAUCUUAGUCUCUUGCUUGCUCAUUCUCCUGUUUUUCUAUUAUUCUUUGAUUUUAUUUACAGUCUAGGUUUUGUAUGUUAGCAAGGGAUUCGCUCAUUUUUUUAUGUGCUUUUUUUCUUCAAUAUUGUUAUCGUUCAGGAACUCUAUGCAAAACUAAACAGAAUGGCUAGCCUGGCAGCAGAUAUGUUUGUAGGAAGGGAAAGAUUUGCUACAUCACUAUUGAUGCGGCUCACCGAAUCUGUCAUCAUAUGCCUUUCCGAAGAUCAAAGCUUUUGGGAUGAUAUUGAGGAAGGACCAAGACCUUUAGGUCCACUUGGAUUACAACAGGCAUGUAUUCUCAAUAUCUUUCUUCUUCCGUUUUUAAAUUUAUAUUAAAUUGUUAAAAAUCGGACUUCUUUUGUACAUGUGCAGCUGUAUUUGGAUAUAAAAUUCGUCAUAGGCUUUGCUUCCCAAGGUCGCUACCUAUCUAGGAAUUUGCAUAGAGUUGUCAAAGAAAUAAUCACUAAAGCAAUAGCUGCAUUUGCUGCUACCGGGAUGGAUCCAAAUAGGUAUGCUCUGAUAGUUAAUUUUCUUUUUAUUACGAGUUGUUUUCUCAUAAUUAUUCUCACCCUUAGGCUAUACAACUAAAAUGCUUGUAUAUUCUGAAUAAAUGCGCAAGUGUUGGCAGUGGCAUCGAAGCAUUCUGAUUUAUAUGUUAUUGUAUGUCAGCGUGCUGCCCAAUGACGACUGGUUCGACGAGAUAUGUCAAGAUUCAAUGGAAAGAUUAAGUGGAAAACCAAAACCCGAGCCCGAGCGGGCUCUAAACAGUCCCACCGCCUCGGUUUCAGCGCAAUCUAUCUCAUCUGUUAGAUCGCAUGGGAGUUACUAGCCAUUUCUUUAACCUUUGUACAUUUGACGGCUAACACAAUUGGUAAUGGAUCUCUCUUUCUUCUUCGUUUUUUUUUUUUUUUUUGACUAUUAUAAUCAUUUGUUGAAUGUAGUAAUAUACCUGCAUGGUCAUAAAGUUGGGGUUCCUUUGAUUUUUCUGCAUUCAUUAGUUUUUGUAAAUGUUUGUAAUUCUUUUAUACAAGUAUUAUUGGAAAUAAAUUCUGAUGAAAUAAAACGAAUUCAACCUCUUUUUAUAUAUAUAUAUAUAUACUUAUUGCAAUUUGAGUAGUCCGUUUGAUGUUGUAACUAAAAUCAUACAAAGGAAGGAGGUUAAUGUUUUGAAAAAUUAUGUCAGGAUAUUUAUACCUAAUUUAUUUAUUUUAUCUAUACAUUUCUAAAUUAGAUCCAAUUCAAUUAUAUUGAAUUAAAUUGAUUUCAAUAUGUAAUGAUAAUGAUCUCAAAUUAAAGGCAAAUUAAUUAUGCCUUUCAUGUAUUACCCAUAUUCUCGUAUCACACUAUAUGUUGUAGUGUAAAUGUUUAAAUAUUUUUGGUAGGUGGAUGUGUGCCGCACACUCCACAUUUUUAGUCACCCGAUCAAGCAUUCUUAUUCUAUUGAAUCACACCGGCUCUUCAUAAAAUCAAAUUGAAGAGUCUGCCAACUUCUCCCCAAAAAAUUGAAUCCCUCAAUAAUAAGCGAAGUAAUCAAGAAAAUAAAGGAGGAAAAAAUUGUACCUAUUGAUAGAGACAAAUGGACAUUAUUGAAUGAAAAAAGUAGAUAGUAUUCCCUUCAAAUUACGGAAUCAUAAUAAAAAAGUAGAAUUUCCAGCUAAUUUAUUAGCUCCGAUGUUUAGAUUUUCUAGGGAGUUUGGUGUUUAAGAGCUGCCUCACAACAUCUCUCAUUGCAGGUCUUCUGCUUGGUUCCUUUUCAGUACAUCUCAAAGCUACCAAAACCACAUUAAUAACCUGCUCCCUCACUUCCCAUUCCAUCAACUCAUCCACAAUCCUCGAAUCCACGAUCCUCUCGAUUUCGGUUUCGAUUUCACCGCUCAAAACUGAUCUGACCCACCCCACGAUAUCAGUCUCCCCCAUAAAUGAUGGAUCCAAUGCCCUCUUCCCGGUUAUCAGCUCGAGCAAAACCACCCCAUAGCUAUACACAUCCGCUUCUUUGCUCCAUGUUGUUCUGAAUGCAUUUUCUGUCAAAAACACAACCCCAUUUUAAUCAUUACAUGGAAUGUCAUCUUUAUAUUAAAAAAGAAGAAGAAGUUAAUUGCACCAGACAUACUCGAACUACGAUCAAAUUUGAAAAUUAGUCUUCAAAUUGAGUAUUUAAAUUAAAUAUCAUAAUUGAAUAAACCAAAAUUUUCCAUUGGUUUCAUUGAAUGGUUUGAACGUUAAAUCGCUAGCACUUGAGAUGUAGUAUAUUCAAAUAUGUGGAUCAAAUUGUGAACACAUGUGUACCUAUUACCUAAACAAAUUGGAUAUGCCGUGAUAAAAUAUUUACAAUUUGAUCCAUAUGUUUUAAAAAUGCGCUACGUUAAACCAAAUUGACAUUUAAUGCCUAUAUUGAUAAUUAAGUUGACAGAAGGACCUGAUUGGCUGAUUGAUUCAAUACUAAUACUUUAAGGAUGCAAUUAAAACAUUUUAAGUUUAAGGACCAAUUUAUAAUCUAAACAAUAGUUUGAGAAUGUUUGAUGCAAUCAACACUUUUAACAAAUUUGAAUCAAGGUCAAAGUUACUAUGCAUACCUGGAGCUAUAUAUCCAACCGUGCCCGCAACUACCAUAGACGGUUCGGAAGCCACAGACUCAUCAAGGAGCUUAGCAAUUCCAAAAUCGGAGAUGUGUGGUUCCAUAUCGGAGUCAAGGAGGAUGUUUUCUGGCUUGAUGUCUCGAUGAACUAUACCGGGAUCACAAUCAUAAUGGAGAUAUUCCAACCCAUGAGCCGUUCCUAGUGCUAUUCUAUACCGAGCACUCCAUUUCAGGAUUUGUACCUCAUUUGUUGUAUGAUCAUUAUUAUUAUGUAAAACAUCAUGUAGGCUCCCAUUUUGCAUGUACCUGUAUAAGAGUAAUCCAUAAUCUUUUCUCAACCAAAAAUCUUCUAAUCUCACCAGGUUUCGAUGCUUAACUUUCCCAAUAGUUUCGAUCUCUCGAACCAUGCUUUGGUUUCCUCCUUUAUGCUUUGCUACAUUGAUCCUUUUUACAGCAAAAUCACUCCCUGGACUCAAUGAUGCUCUAUAAACGACUCCAUGUGCUCCUCUGCCGAUAAUAUACCUCUCAUUUAAAUUCUCGGUAGCUUCCAUCACUUUGUUCAAUAAGUUCGAUGCGCCUUCUUCGACACAGACCUCAUGUUCUUGCUUUUUUAUCCUGCAGAAAAUGAAUAUCGAAGCCACAACUAGGAGUGCCACAACAAGUAGAGAUGAACCGAGGGCUAUCAUUGCAACUUCCAAUUUGGUAAGGCCCCUUUGAUUUUUCAUUUCAUUACAAGGAUUAAGGUAAUUUCUUGUAGGACAAGUUUCCUCACCUGAUGAAAGACAAUCAAUGCAUAACCCGGGAUUGCCGAGGAAAGAUGAUGAGGACAAGUUCAUGAAACGCAUCAUUGUUGUCGGUAUCGGACCAGUGAAGUGAUUGUAGGAAACAUUGACCUCAACCAAGGAAUCCAUUCCAUCAAGAACUGUUAAAGUCCCUGUUAGAUUGUUAUUAGAUAAAUCCAAUCUAACCAGCUUGAACAGAUUUCUUAGCUCCGAGGGAAUCUCUCCAGUCAAACUAUUGCUGCUCAAAUUCAAGCCAUAAAUCAGAUUCUUCAUAGCUCCAAUCGACGAAGGAAUACUACCACCAAAUGGAUUUCCCCCGAGCUGCAGGUCCGAAAGCAUUUCGAGUUCCAACAAGAAAGAAGGAAUGCCACCAGUAAAUCGGUUUUCACUCAGAAUAAGAGUUGACAGCUGUUUCCAGCUCGUCAAAGCAUUCGGAAUCAAACCAUUCAGCGAAUUAAACCCCACGUCGAACUCUACCAAUCUGCUACAAUUUGACAACUGAGAUGGCAAAGAACCUUGUAAAAGGUUGUGAGAAACAUUCAAAGUCUGAAGAUCUGCUAGGUUGCUUAACUCCGAAGGUAUAAAUCCCGUGAAGCGAUUCAUGGACAAAUUGAUAGAAGUAAGGUUUCUACAGUUCCCCAAGCUGGAUGGAAUUGGACCGGAGAUGUCAUUUUCACUAAUAUCCAUGUGUACAAGAUUUUUAUUCUCUGCAAACUCGGGCAGCACACCGUUGAGGUUAUUCUGCUUAAGGAUCAAUCUCCACAGAGUUUUACAGCCUCCGAUAUCAUCGGUUACACUGCCGGUAAGCUGAUUUUGACCCAAAUUCAACACCCUUAACUUCUUUCCAAAGCAAAGAAAUGGAGGGAUUGUACCACUGAACAUAUUGUUUGUGAAAUCCAACUGCUGUAAACUAGCAUUAAUCCCCAAAUUCCGAGGUAUGACCCCGAAGAAACCAUUAUCGUACAACGAAAUGUUUUUCAAUUGCUUGAACUCAGUGAUCUCUAAAGGCAAUUCCCCUGUUAGGUUGUUCUUAUAAACAAGUAAAUACUCUAAGCUUGGAAUCCUCCAAAUACUAAUAGGAAUCUCACCACUCAAAUGGUUCAUAAACAACUCAAGAUCAUUCAACUCACUUAACAUCCCUAAUUCAUUAGGGAUUUCACCUUUGAGUUGAUUAUCAUACAAUAAUAGCUGUUUCAAAGACUUACAUUUCCCAAGCUGAAAUGGGAUUUCACCAUAUAAAUGGUUUUCAGAAAGAUCAAGCUUUGAAAGCUGAUCUAAUAAGCCUAAUGAAGAAGGAAUAUAACCUGUUAAGUUACUAUGUACAAUAACCAGCUCAGUCAAGGUGCUACAAUUGGCUAACCCUGGUGGUAUCCCCCCAUUGAAACUAUUGAAUGAUAAAUCCAAAACACUCAAAUUUUUACACUUGGUAGGACUUGGGAUUUCACCAUUGAAACUAUUGUGACUCAAAUACAAAUACAUUAAGUUUUGGAGAUUCAUAACACUGGAAGGCAAACCCCCAACAAAAUAGUUCCCAUCUAAAAAAAGUUCUUGUAGUUUACUACAAUUCCCUAUUGACUCUGGUAUGGUACCUAUCAACCCAUUAUCAUACAAAUCUAAAGCUACAAGCUCGCUCAAGUUACCAACAUUCAUAGGUAUUGAACCACUCAAGUUGUUAUUAUUCAAAUACACGGACACCAAACCAGUAACAUGAAACAAUGUUUCUGGUAUUUCACCACUCAAGGAAUUGGAAAACAAGUUCAAGUAAUUCAGCUUUUGCAAGGAAUUGAAAGUAUUAGGCAUUGGUCCAAUGAGUUCAUUGUUAGACAAAUCCAAGUGUUGAAGGGAACUACAAUUGGCCAAAGCUGAGGGUAUUGGACCAAAGAACCUAUUGUUGCUCAAAUCAAGGGUGUUCAAAUGGUGUAAAGCACCAAUUUGAGGUGGCAAUUGGCCUGAAAUGGCUAAGUUUGUAAGGUUAAGAGUAAGGACAUCAUGGGUUUCAGAAUCACAUUCAACACCAACCCAUUUGCAUGGAUUUGGAUCAGAAGCAUUCCAUGAAGAGGUUAAAGAAGAAGGUAAGGAUGACCAGUGAGGUAACAAAGAAAACAGGGUUUCCCCAUUAGAAUUCAAAGCAUAAACAAAAAGACCAGUGUUUUGUUCUAAAAACAAGAAACACAAGAGCAAGGUUAAUGGAAAGAGAAAGUUACCUUUCAUUAUUCUCCUCCAAAGGGUAAGAAGGACAUAGAUUCUUACCUUUCUUAAUGCAUACUCUCUCAAUAUAUAUACACGCACGUAGCACGUAUGUAUGAACUGGAGAGUACAGAUGGGUGGAAAACUCACCAAGACCAAAGUCCAAGCAUUCAUUGACCAGCAGCAAUUUGAAGUGAAGAGAGACAAGACGAUAAUAAAUACAGAGGGAUAAUAUAAUUUUUCGCCCUCAACUUGGCGUCUAGCCCCACAUUGGUUUUUUUCUUUUUUUCACUUUUAACACUUGACUAGACAAUUUAGUUUAUUUUGUACUUUUGGAUAAGAAAGAAUAUAAAAGUUUGAUCACAUAGUAUUUUAAAAUUAUAUAAAUUUUGAUUUAUUUUAUAUCUUAUUAUCAUUUAAAAAUUUUAAAAAUUAUAUAAAUUAUCUGAUGAUGACGUAAUAUAAUCUUAAAAUAUCACAUUUAGUAUUUUAAUAAAUGAACCAAUAAUUGAAUCAAUCAAAAUACUAAUUUGUGAUUGAACCAAUUUGAUUGAUUUGACUAUUAGAGUAAUAAUAAGUAAUUAAAUAAUUAUAAAAAUUAAAAAACAUUAAAUCAAUUCAAUAUAUUUAAGUGUCUAUUUUUGUUUUAACUUUUUUUUUCAAUUUUUUACCAAUUUUAAAUAAUUUUCGAUUUAAUCUAUUUGUUUAAAUUGCAAUAUCUCAGUCCAACUAAUCAAUUUAAUUAUGUUUCAAUAACAUUGAUUAUAUCAUUAAAUCUUAACAAAAUUUAAUUUUAAAAAUUAAAAUAGAUCUAAUUAUUAAAUUUAAAUAUUAAAGUGAAUAAAAAAAAAAAGGUAGUUUUCAGUUACCAAAAAUUAUAUUAUAGGUAAUACAGAUAUUAUAGAAUUGGGUCAUCGUCAGAUAGCUGUAGAUCAUGUCAUGGGCGGGGGGCUUAGUGUGAAAUGGAAGAUACUUGCUUUGCUUUACCAUUUUUUCAACGCGGUUUCAGUUUCAAAGUGGCUGUGGGAAACGCAGCUUUUUAGUUAUAAAAUUAAUGAAACACUAGUGUUUUUAUAGUCUGUGUAAGGGAGAAGUGACGUUACCCUGCACUCUGUAAAACAUAUUAAAUGUCAUCCCCCUGCAAUUCCAUUUUCCAUUGUUUGCCACUUGGCAAGCCUCCUGCUUUUCUUUUUUUAAAGAGAAAAUUUAGGCAAAGCCGAUUCCCUUUUUUAUGAUUUUAAGUCGUAUUAUUAUUUAAUUUAGGCAAUCCUUUUUGGUCCCAUUUUUUUUUUAACAAGUACAUACCAACUUAUACAAGAUUAGUACAAUAUUUUAAUAUUUUAAAUUUAUUUUUAUAAUUACAUUUAAAGGUAAAAAAACAAUCAUUUGAUCAAAUUAUGAAAGAUAACUAAUAAUUUUAAAAUUAAUUUUUCAUAUAUGUGCAAUUAAAAAUUAUUUUCUUGUAUAUAUAAUAUAAACGAAAAAUAUAAAUAAAUCUAAAAUAGUAUAUUAAAAAAAUGUCUCAAAACACAUACAUGGAAUUGAGUUGGAUUUAGAUAGAUUUAACAUUGAUUUAUGUAAAAUCAGUGGAUGCUGAGAGGGAUAGGCCCUUUAAAAAGGUGAGUUAGAUGAGUUGUAAAGCUAUACAAUCAUUUAUCCACUUAAAGCCAAAUCUCUAGAUUAUUCUUAUUAAAUUUAAAUUCUUCUAUCCUAAAAAAAGUUCUUCUAGUAAAUUGAGCUUUUCAAGAGUCAAAAGAUUUAUAAUUUUGUCAUCACUUACUUCUAGUAAAGGAAAAAAAAUCUAAUUAGACAAGUUUCCAUUAUUUACAUACAACUAUGUCCCAAAAAGAAAUUAUUUAUAUACAACUUGUCUAAUUAGAGAUAAUUGAAAGUCUUAUAAAGAAAAUAAAAUUGUUUCAAGCACCCAUAUUAAUGCUUGUGGUUCGUGGAUAACAAGCUUUAAAGAUUCUUUAUUUCUUUUAUUGAAUUAUAUUGAUGCUAGUGAUGCUCUUAAUUUGAGUUUGAGGUAUAAAUUUAUCUAUGAUUUGAGUCACUCUAACUCAAAAAUUUAUUCAAAAAUCUAAGAAUUUAAAUAAAAAUAUAAAUCUUAAAAAUAAUUUUGAAUAAAAAAAUAAAACCCAUUUAAAAAAAACAAAUCGAGUUUCAAGCCCAAAUUUACAACAAAAAAAUUGUUUUAUUAUUAUUUUCUCAUCAUUUUACUCUCAUCUCACUAUUAUAUUCUUAUUUUUAAAUAUUAUAUAAUUCAUAUUUUAUUGUUAAUUUUGUUAUUUAUUAAACUCUCGAAUUCUGAAUUUUAAUAGUUUAGGUUGAAAUCAAUUAGGCUUAUAGCUCAAUUCUCAAACUUAAGUUCAAAUCAUUCAAAAUUUUAAUGAAUCCAAGUUUUGAAUUACUUCAAAUUAAAAAGCUCAGAUAUGUUUUCAAAUUAGAAUCUUUUUUUAAAACAAAUUAUUAUUAGACUUUUAACUAUAAAAUCCAUGAUUUGACCACAAAUAGCAGGUGAGCGAGCAAAGCAUACAUGAAAUCAAGAGUUAUGUGAGCUUCGCAUACUCCACUAUAAUACUGAACAACUCUACAAAGCUAAAACAGUCGUAAAUUAUUGUACUUCUAUUGUAACCAAAGGAUAAAAGAAUAACCAGUCAACCACUGUUAGAAAAUUUUUAUUAACUUCUCUCUCUUUUUACCAUUUUUCAUUUCCUUUCACAGUGCACUACGCUACACUAAGCUACACUAAUGUUCUGCAUAAAAAAACCCCAAGUAAAUAAAAAGACCAGGGGCCUCCCUAAGGAAUUGACUGCCAAAAAGAACACAGUUAUGUUCCUUUUGACCAAAACAUUAAAAAAUAAUAUAUAUUGCAAUUAUUUACUUCCAAGUGCUGUCAGCUAAUCAUCCACAUAUGGAUGUUUUCGCUUUUGACUCUUUGACUAAUACUAGAAGUUGCAUGGUUCAGACCCUGUAAUUGUCAUCUCUUUCUCCAUUUAUAAAAUUUGUACCCAAAUGAAAAAAAAAAAAUCUAAAAGGUUACCUGAAACAAAACAUCAGCUGAAGCACUGUUUACCUCAAGCAGAGUAGCUUAUCCUGCAUAUAUAUGUAUAUAUAUAUCAUAGACGCUUAUAUCUAUCAAGCCCUAAAAGUUCAAAAGAUGAUUAUCAUCCUUUCACUUCAAUGGAAUAAAUGGUGUCAAUGGCUAUGGCAAUGGUUAUGCUUCCCUACAUUUUCUCAGAUAAUAAUAGUGCCAUGAUAUGAAAAUCUGGAUUUUCUUCAAAUGAAAUGUUAUUGAUGUAGUGUAUUUUGACCGUAGAGGCAUAUAUACUUCCGAAUAGUUCCUAUAAAUCUUAUGUUUUGAAGACCCCUAAUAUGUUAAAAAGCAUGGCAAUCAUCAUUUUUCAGUUUACCGAAACAAAUAGUGCCUAUUGGCCAUGGCAAUGGUGCUAACAAUUCCAUCUAUAGAAUGAAAAAAUGGGAUGGUUUUCUGCGCUGUUUACUUCAAGAUAGUGCCAUGCACUGAAUGUCAUGUUAGUAAUGUGAUGUAAAUGGAUCAACCCCAGAUGUAUGCUGCGUGAUAUAGAGCAUCGGUAGUAGUCCAGUAUCAUGGAAUGGUCAAUGUUCAAUAUGAGGUGGAAUAGCACACAAAUUAACCAAACCUGUAGAUAAUGCACUACUUCUAAAUAAUAUUAAAGUUAUCUGAAAAGCCUAUAAAGUUAACCAGGCAUAACAAAUGCUGCAGACACAUGCAUGUCUUAGGUAAAUUCAAAUAAACAUGAGCAAAUGGUGUGUUCAUGAUACCGCUAUGUGCAUUCAAAGACAUGAGAAGGGAUGAUAAUGCCGAUGGUGACAAUGAAAUGGGUGCAUGCAAUAGCUGCAUGAUGCAUCCUAGCAUGUAGCAGUUGUAUUUGUUGGAGCAUAUAAAGAGAACAUCCCCUCAUCUACUGGUAAGUCAUAGCUAGUGGAGCCCCAUUGGCACCAGGAGAAGCAAUGGGAUGAUUGGAGUCUUUCCUUUUACCGAAAGGAUUCUUGGAAUAUCUAUGAUCAAGUCAAGAAAGACAACCAUGUUUCACCGAAGCAUUUAUGUAGUAAAGUUACAGAUGAAACAUGUAAAGCUAAUUACAUAAUUUCAUUAUGUUCAUAUAAAGCUUAAUGUGGAGUCCCUUUAUUUUCUAAUUUUAUUCAUUGGCAUUCAACAUUAUAAAACCGUAGAUAUACAUACCAAAAAGAAUCAAAGAAUUCUCUACCUAACCACACUCUUUUUAGAGAUUGAAGUUAUAAGAAUCAAGAUUUGCCAUUAAAAAACCAAUCUUCACAAAAACAAUUGUGGAAAUAUCACCUUUUAACCCACAUUGAGAUGCCGAGAAGCAGUAGAAGUGGUAAUUAUUAGGUAGAAAACCUAUCUGGAUUGUGCAACAGACAUGAAUCAAGCCACAAGCCCAUACACAUCACAUGUAUAAAACACCACUAUAUAUGCAAUAGUUGCCAUACCAAAGAAACAAAGCAAAGGAAAACAAGAACAUUUAAAACAGUAAAGCCACAAAUGCAAAAAGGAUACUGUAUUCGCAUGCCAAUAGAACCAGAACUAGGGAUCACAGCACCCUGCAAACUGUGGUGCACAUUACUUGCAGAAUUCACAUCCUGCAAAUUGGGGAAACAAACACUAAGCUUAAGAAUGAAAACCCAAGAAAAUUGCAUUCGAUGAAUAACUGGUUACAUCCAGGUGGGUUAAGAGAAGAAAGGAACUUACUUCAAACUCUAUAAAGCAAACAGUAUGCCUUUCUUGUCUCAAGAUCUUCAUUUGCUUAAAACCAGGUUGACUGCAUAAAGCAUAAGUACGAAAUAAACCAGGAUGUCAUCAGAUAUCAACCCAAAUUCACACAAAUAAAAUUGACCAUUAAAGUAGCCAGAGGCUAAGAUGUUCUUACGCGCUAAAUAAGCCCCGUAGUUCUUCCUCAUUAAUAUUCUCUCCAAGAUUGCCAAUAAAUAAGGUAUUGCAAGGAGGGUUAUCUUUGGUGUUCUGCCAAUCAAAGAUAGUUUCAUUUAGUGCCAGAAAAAAAACAUAUAAAGGAUGCUGCAUCCCAAGAUUUCCCAGAAGGAAUGAGAAAAAGUCCAGCAAGCCAACUAUAAACGACCAAUAAAAAAUUAUACUAAAUCUAAACCAAAGGAGAAAGUGGCACGUGGAGCGUAGAAAUUACCUGAACAGGCACAUAACUGCUAGGAGCUGGUACAGGAGCAGGGGUAGGCAUUGGCACUGGAGGAACAGGAUAACCUCCAUAAGGAUCAUAUGGAGGAGUUGGAGAUAAAUACCUAUGCCAAAUACAAAAGCGUUCAACUUAACAAGCAAUGCUGUACCUACACCUUAAACUAUCUAUGACUAAGCAAACUAGACCAUAGCAUAGCAGUAUCCAACAUCCUGACAUAGCUUCUUACCCGUGUGGGCCCCAAACAGGGGCAGGAGGAGGGUGAAACGGAGGUGGAGUAGUAUAAGCACUGUGUGAAUAAUCGCCACCAGUUCGCAAACGUUUGCUUUGAUCAUACGAAUUAGAAUCUGCUACAAUUCCUACAGAAUAAAUAUCAACAAAGUAAAAGAAUGAUCUUUUACAUAAAUAGAUUCCUACAGAAUCUGCUACAAAGCUCUCCCUGUAAUAACAAAGACAAAUUAACAAGGAUACAUUUUUUGUACUCUCCUUACAAAUAUGAUUUAAAACACUUCCUUUCAAAAACCAAUAAUUGUAUCUAUUUUUUCUCUAUUUCAAAACUACACAUUCAGUUGCUUUUAUUCCCUCUUCUGUAUAUUUAGAUAUGGAUCAUUUUCUUAAUAUUUACUUGAUAAAAUUACUUAUCAUUUCACCCACAAAAUGGGUUGCCAAGGACUGGUAUUUAUUUCCUUCUCUUCAACAGUUCCUCUUCUUGUCAUGGUCUGAAUUGUAAAGCCCGAUUACAAAUACAGGAGGAAUUUAAAGAGCAGACCUCUAGAACCAAUUGACUCAAUCCUUUUCUGUUCUUUGAACCAUCAUCUCAUUGUCUUCUAUACUUCAGGAUCAUUAGGAACAACUUUACGUAUUUUGCAUUACUUUAUCUCCAGAUUAAAACAUUUUUUGUCUGCAUGUCUCCAUGCAAGCCUUUUUUCAAAUUUGGCAUGAUACAAGGUGUUAAAGAUGACUCACCUCUUUUAACAAAUAGAUUCUUCUUCGCCAUCUCUAUGUGCAAUACCGAUUUUGACUCAGCAUCAAAAACCAUUUCCUAAUACCCCCCAGCAUCAGACAAAAUCAGUGCUUUGAAAAGGAUGACAUAUCUUAGAUGACUAAAUAAAACCGGAAGUUAAAUACAUUUAUAAAUACCUGAAGGGCAUCUUUGGCAGCAAUUGCGAGUUGUGCACUUGAGAAGAGAGCAAAACCCAUAGGUUUUUCUCCCUUGUAGUUCACCUGCGAAGCUUCAUACCCUGGAAGCCAUCUCAGUAAAUUCUGUAGCUCUCUCUCUUUGACGUCUUCAGGAAGACCAGUAAUGAAGAUAGUCCGAACCUGGAUCCAGAACAAGUAUUAAUAUUAUUUUUCGAUAUACAAGGAAAAAGCAGCAAACUUGUACAUGCAAAGUACAAAUGCAUGCACAACAAACAUUUGUAGACACCAGAGUUACCUAAUUUGGUUAAUCCCAUUCAAAUUGCAAACCAAAUUGAUUAUGAUGUUCUAGAUAUUAUGUUAAGAAUGGGAACCUUUUCUUUUUAUGGAUGAUUAUCGAAAAUCCAUUUAAAAAGUUAAUUGAAUCUUCUUUAAAGACAAAAGUUAAUAAUUUUUUAAAUAACACAAAAUAAUGAAUGCAUGAAAAAAAAAGUAAUUGCAACCUUCUAUGCUCCAAAGAAUCGAAUUUCUUUCCUUCUAAAUGAAUCAAGUACCACAUUUAUCGUACCAUUUUUUUUUAAUAAAUAGUUAACUAUGUUUUAGUUAUCUAUCUGCAAACCAAAUUGAUCUGCGUUGCAGGUAACUCUGAUACAGUCAUAUAACUACCUAAUAACCACAUAUAUACAAAAAACAAUUCUUAUUUAGCUCUUACUUCAUCUUAUUUUCAGCUUCUUCCACCAAUGUUACUAAAAAAGAAAUGAAAAAAAAAUCUUUCACCAGAACAUAACCAAAUAAUUGAACUGUUGUAAAUUGUAAUGCAAAUUCAAUUAGAAUCGUUCAUUAAAGAAACAAAAUCUUUGAAUGGUAUAUGUUUUUAGUCACAGAAAUGAGUUUUUUAUUGUCAAUUAUAAAAGUUAUUAUUUUAAUCUUGGAAAAGAAAAAAGCAAGCUCAAAAAGAAAACCAAAUAUUAAAGAGAGAAACGAUGGAAUCUAAAAAGAUAAGCAGAGCAAAAAGAAACUAUUAUAUUUGCAGAUUCUCAAAGAAAACUCAGAGAGAGAGAGGCAAUUAGGGUUCUGUCACCAUCAAAUCGUGCAAUUAAGGCUCAGAAACUAAGUCUUGAAAAAGAAAAAAAAAGGAGGAGGUAGAGUAAAUGGAGUGAGAGAGAUUUGACCUCAUCAUGAGAAGAAACGGGUGGAGGAUGGUGGACAGGAGGAGGCGGUGGAGGAACCGCUGUUGCUGUGGCUGGAGGGGGCGGAGGAGCUGGUGCCGGCGGCCACUGCUGGUGAUAAGGGUGGAUUCCAGCACCCGCCAUGUCUAUAUCUCGAUAGAAAGUAGAAACCUGAAACCCUAAACCAAUACUCGACGUUCAAGAGAGAAAGAAAGAACAAACUACGAACCCAAAAGAAUGAUACGAUAAUGGAAAGGAAACCCAAGAAAUAUAGCCUUUUUAUUUUGUUUAUUUAUUUGAAUAGAUUUAAUUACAAUCACAAAUCUAAAUAAUAAAUAAUACAGGUCCAAUUAAUUAUAAUAAUUUCAAUAUUAAAAUGAAAAUAAAUCUCAACAUUUCUCUCGAAUGAUGAGAUUCAAAUCUCAAUGUCGACUUAAUUUGAGAGAUGAGACUCGAAUUUAUUAAUUAAAAUGCAUAUUUUUUUAGCACAAUUAUUUUGUUCACGGCCAACAAAUAAAUUUAAAAUAAUAUCGUUAGCGCGGAAUGAGUUUUACUUUGAUUAGUAUAGAGAUUAGUUUUGAAUUGAUUAGAUCAAAAAUCUGUAUAAAUCAAUUGAACUGGAUAAAAAUUGAUCAAACUGGUAAUCAAACUAGUUAAACUGACAAUUGAACCAAUUUUUUAAAAAGGUAAUUUUUUAAAUUUUUAAUAAUUUUUUAACAGGACCGGUGACUUGACAAAUUCAACCACCAAUAAAAUUUAAAAAACAUUGAUGCAUUUGAUAGUUUUAGGCAUCGUUUCAAAAGCAACAUCGUCAUUGGUAAUAGGCAAUUAUAAUCACUUAUAUGUAACAAUUUUAGUAUGGCAUAUGUAGGUAAAAGUAUUAUAGAGGUUAUUAUAUUAAGAGUAAAAUUACAUUUUAUUCUAUUUACUCAAAAAUGAGUAAAUUAGUCUUAAUUCUACAAAUCAAAUAGUAAAUCAAUCUUUUAUGUUAAAAGUUUAAUCAAUUUUUACUAUUAAAAACUAGUCUGAUUAAUGAAAUAACUAAGCAAUUACAUCUGACGUGCCACAUGCACUUUAUGUUGACGUACAAUGAUCAGUUUGUAAUAGUAAUGAGAUUUUUAAUAGAAAUGAUUAAUUUGCUCUUUGACGUAACACAUAGGGACCCAUUUGAUAUUAUUUUAAUAGAUUGAGUAAAAUGUAAUCUGACUUUUAAUACAAAGAACUCCAUAAUAUCUAUACCAACAUUAAAGAAAUUUAGUGUGAAUGCACACAUGGUUGAUAGUAAUCCAAUUAAUGUCAUAAUUAAAUUAAUUAAAUCAAUAAAUUAUAAUUUAAUUAAUUUGAUUGUGGGUUGAAUCUAAAACUAAACAAUAAAUAUAAAUAAAUAAUAAUCUAAACAUUUAUCUUAUAAAUUAUAACAACAAAAAAAUAUUUAAAUUAAUUUCAAUCAGAUUUUGAGAAAUUUACUUUAAAAAAGUUUUUUUUUUUUUUAAAUCAGAGCUGAAAAUUUAUUUUUAUAACUUAGAAUGGAGGAAAAAAAUUGACCUGAUUGCCACUAAACAUGACAAGAAUUCUUAUUUUUUAAACAAUCUUAUUGUAAAUUCUAUUCCUUUUUACAUAAAGUGUUUAGAACUUAUAAAUAGGAGGAUAAUGUGCUUCAGUACACUCGAUCUCACAUCUUAUUACAUUGACAACAAUACCUAUACUAAUCAAAUUAGGAUAAGAAUUAUUUAAUACACGAAAUAGUAGUGUUAAUGAAUAAAUAAUGUACAAUACAUCAAUUAAAUUACAUAAUAUGUAAAUAUCGAGGGUUAAAAUUUUCUAAAAUCAACAUUAAAUUUAUAUAAUUUAUAAAUAUUAAGGUUCAAAAUUAUUAUUAUACCUUUUUUAAAAGAUGCUAUCGUUAACCAACUAUAACAACAGCAGAUAAAAUCAUAUAAUUCACUGAUAAUUUUGUAAUUUUUUUAUAAUUAAAUAACUAUUUUUUUUUAUAAUUUGAUGGAAAAAAAAUACUAAUAAUUAUAAUUAUCCAAGAAAAAUAAUACCCUCACUAGUUUCUUCCGCUCCAUUUCAUUCAAAGAAGGAUAGCAAUUUCAUAUAUAACAUAUACAUGCAUAUACAUAUAUAAUGAAUUUAAAAAAAAAAAGUGUACAAUGAAUGCGUUAAUGGAGGGAAAACGAUCGAUAAGGGUGGGUCGCCGCCCGGCUGUGAGACGAUACACAAUCCCGACGUGUUAAGACGAUGUUGCAACUACUUCUUCUUGUUGACGCCGUCUUCUAAGUUCACCCUCGAGAACGUUCUUUGCCGCCUCCGCCGUCAUCGCCGAUUUCUCCGCCAUCUCUGUCGCGGCCUUGAUUUCCUCAAUUGCCUGCAAAUUCUCUUCCGCCUUCUCAUCCGCUUCGUUUUUGCUCGCGUUUAUCGCUUCCAGCUCCGCCAUUGCAGCAGCUAUUUUCUGCUCCGAUGAAUUCCCAUACUCCUCUACUUUCUUUUUCAACGCUUCGAAUUCUUCUUUGGAUAUCUUUAUCUUUCCCCUACCGGUCCCCUCUUCUAAUAGCCGCAUUUCGUCGAGCGCCUUCUUCUCCGCCGCUUUCGCUUCCUCGGCUUGUUGUAAAGCGAGCUCUAGCUUUUGCUUUAAGUCCUUCACUGCCGUUUCAGCCUCUUCGGCUUCUUUCUUCAGAAUUUCCAUGUUCUUCUUCAUCUGUUGAGUUUCAUUUCUAGCAUUCUCUGUUUCUAAUAAAAGCUGUUGAAGCCUAAUGUUAUGAUCAGCACUAAGAGCUUCUUUUUCACUUUCAUUUCGGAUCUUCAUUUCACUCUCUCGUUGUUGCCUCUUCACCUCUUCAAGUUCCAUCCUAAUGGAGCUCACUAAAUUCCGAAGGGAACACUCUUCGUCGGCCACCAUUUGCAGCAUUGUCGUAGCUUCGUUAAGUUCCGAUGUCAAAACCCUAACGGAAUCCAUUUCCAUAGCAUGAACUUUCUUCAUCUCAUCUUGCAACGCUUCGACCUCCUCCGUGGUUUCCUUAAGCUUCUCCUCCAGAGAUCUCGCUAGCUCUGGAUCAUACGCCUCCCUCGCAGCCUUCAAUUUCUUCUCCGCUUCCUCUUUAGCACUCUCAUAAGAUUUCUGCAACAUUUCUUUAUCCACCGCUAUGCUCUCCUGCUCUUUGUACACUUGUUGCGUAGCGAAUUUCACUUGCUUAAUCGCUUCCUUCAUCACCGUGAUUUGCUUCGUCAGCUCGGUAACCCUCUCGGAAUGCAUUUUUGCCGAGAGCUGCGCCUCCGCCGCCUGCUGAAACGCCGCCAAUUUCACUUCCAACGCCGUGUCGAAAUCCUGCCUGAUUUUAUUCAGCUCUUGCUUCUUGGCAUCGAGUUCCGUCGCGACGGCGAUGUAUUGCUCCCUCGCUGACUCCAACUCCUUCUUCCUCACCUCGCAUUCUUGGUUGUUCUGCGGUUUCUGGAAUUCAAGUUGAGUGCCUUGUUCCCUCACCGCUUCGGUCGCUUCGAUCGCCGAUUGCUUCGACUCCGUCACCGCUUUGAGUUUCUCGGCCAAAUCCUGCAACGUUUUCUUCGCGCUUUCGAGCUCAGAUUCCGCUUUCGCCUUCGUAGCUUCGGCGCUCUCUAGCUUUUGCUUCAUGUUGUUGAACUCUUUCUCUGCUAGAAGAAGCUGCGUCUCUUUGUCUAUUACAUUCUGCAAAACAUAAAUUAUUCGUAAGUAAUCACAGCUUAAUCCUACUGAUAAUAAAUUAGGGUAUAAAUCUGAUUUUAGUCCCUAUGAAAUUUCAUCUUUCUACUUUAAUUGGUCAAAUUCUAUAAAAGAUCCCUGUUCUAUGCAUUCGUUUUGUAGGUUUAGUCCUUCUACUAUUAUUUGAUUCCAUUAAUUCCUUCAAACAAUUUGAGGUGACUUAUUUUUAACAUCCGGUGUUGUAGUGUAUGCAUAUUGGCAUAUUUUUUCAGAUGAAUAUUAUACAUUUUUCUCUUUGAUGAAAUUGAUGGAAAAGAAGAGUUAGCUUUAGAAUUAAAAUUACACAUUUUGAAAAGUAGAUGUACUAGAAUGAUCAAAUUACUGUAAAUGGACUAAAUCCGGACCUUUUAUAGAAUUUUACCAUUUUAAUUUAGCACAAUUGUCCCCUUCUAGUUUAAUAAUGUUACUAAUAGGUACAAAUUGAUAAUACUUCGGUUGUUGCCAUUAGUAAUGAUAUGAAGAUUUUCUAUAGUGUCAUUCGAUCACACGAUCAAAAUGCUUAAGGUUGUUUCUAUGUCAUAACUUUAAUGAUAAUAACUAAUGGGUUUUAUCAGUUGCAAUUAAUGGAGGGACUAAAAAUAUAAUUAAACCGCUGCAUUUUUUUUCAAAAAACAUUGGUUACCUCUGAAGAAAUUCUUGAUCUUCUGGGAGUGCGUCUUUCCUUGGUGACGGCUACUUCUCCAAAUAAACUAACGGCAGCUUUGACGGAUUGAAAUGGUGCUGUGGUAUCAAUCUCUCCUACCUCUGCCUUUGGUGAACCUGAACCAGAGGAUUUUGGGAUGCGUUCGCUGAUGGCCCGGCGGUAAAUGUUCACCAUUUUUUCUCUGUCUUCCCUCUUUUUCUUGGAAAUUUAUUCACCUGCGCAUCAUGUCAUCGUUCCAUCAAUACGUGCAUACAUACAUACAUACAUACAUACAUGCAUGUAUCACUACCAUCUACAAUCAACUGACAUUGAUGUCAAGUAAGAACUUAGCAGUUAAUAGUGAUCAUAUUCUGGUUUUGUUCCUUCUAUCAUGUUAAUCUAAAUUUAUUCUCUUCAUUAAUUUGACAUAAUUUAAUCCCCUAAUUCUAUAUGAUCAUUAAUUAUAUUUAGUUAGCAUUGAAAUAAUUAAUGGUAUUAAUUAUUUGGACCAAUAAAUUACAUUAUAAAUGAAAAAUAAUAUAGGGAAUAAAUCUUAAAUACGAGGGACCUCUAGCAGUAGAUAUCAUGGAUGAAUAUAUGCCCAGGCCCUAAAUUGGUGUAGGUGUUGCAAAGGAUGCUCAUAUUAUUCAACAAAAACCUUGUUUCUUUCUUCGUUUCUUUUUCCCCUUCAUCAGGCCGACCACAUUGGAUGCAUGUUUGUGUAUUACCAUAUGCAAAUAAUUCAUACAUACAUCCAUGCCUGCCUACAACAUCUUAAGUUAAAACUAAAUAAUGUUAUCACCACAUACAAUCAACUGACAGAAAAUGCUCACAAUUUAUGCAUACAUGCAUGCAUAAAUGAGAUGACUUGAGUGAAACAUACCAGAGGGUGCUUAGAAAAGAUAGCAAAUAGAUGCAUACAUGCUUACAUGCAUGCCUACAACCUGUAAGCUAAAACUAAAACAAUAUCAUCACCACAUACGCUCAACAUGCAUGCAUAAAUGAGAUGAUAUGAUUGAAAAUAGAUUGGAAAGGAACCUGACCGGGUGAGGAUACGUUGAAGAGGAGAAAAUGAUGAAAGAUUGGAAAAGGAAAAGAAAAAAUGGAAGCCUUGAAACUAAACUUGAAAUGGAACUUAUGGGGGGAGUGGGUAAGGAUGAAAGGAAAUGAUGCCCAAAAUGAGAGGUAGAGAGGUUUGGGGUAUUAUUUUGGAAGAGAGACCCCGAAGGUUUGCGGGAUUUGAAUGGUUAAAACUUUUGAAAAAUAAAUAAAGGUCAUUACAUGCCACCCUCAUAGCCUCCCCUACUGCCACAUACUAAACUAUGCAAUGAUAAUUUUGGUGGAAAUAAGUUGUUGACUUGCUGUUUCAAUCCUUAAAACCAAUGGAUAUUAUCAUGUAUCUUUUGUUUGACCAUUUCCAUGCAUGCAUGCAUGCGUGUAUGUAUGUGUGUAUGUAUUUAGCCUGCCAUGCUGUAACACAACUCACUUCUCUCACGUUAGUGCUUUCCGAACAAUAUUAUCAUUUAGUUGUAUAUUUGAUAUAAUGAUAAUGGAUAAUAUAGUGUUUGGAAACAUCUAUUUUUUAUGGUGUAUAGAAGGGACCCUUUUUAAAUUUAUACACAUGAAAUUUAGUCUAUUUGGUAUAUAAACUUUGAUUUACUGUAAUUAUACAUAUAAACUUUGAUUUGGUUCAAUUGUACACAUAAAAUUUUGAUCUUGAUUUAAUUGUAAACAAUUUUUAAAGAUACAUAUAUUUAUUUUCAUGUUAGGUUAAUAUAGUUAUCUGUAUAUAUAAUAUAUAAAUGUAAAAUGAUGUUACAACAAUAGCAUUGUUAGUGAUUUAUAAAAAUUAAAUCAAUUCAAAAUUUCAUGUAUAUAAUUGCACAAAAUCAAAAUCUAUGUAUCACAUUGAACAUUUAACUAAAGUUUGUAUAUAAUUUUGAUAUUUAUCCCUAUAUAGAAUCAUGCAUUAUCAAUUUAUCAAAUAUGAACAUUUUUGUCUUACCUUCUUUAUUUUUAUUUAUUUAUAAUUAAUUAAGAUUUACAUCAUUAAAGGUGCUCAUGGAUCGAAUUAGAUAAAGGUGCUCAUGGAUCGAAUUAGAUCAAGAUUAAAUUGCACAACCUAACCCAUUAAAAUAAACUUGUUUUACUAUUUAAAAAACAUAUUUUUAAGUUUAAAUAUAUAAAAAUUAAUAUAGAGCUAUUUUUAUAUUUUUUAUUAUUUUAAACGGGAUUAAAAUUUUAAAUCCUUGAUUCAAAUCCAACCCAGACAGACCACGUGGAUUAUAGAUUAAUUAAUUGGUUCGGAGAGUAAUAGAUCACUUAGGGUUGUUAGAUAAUUCAUAAUUUUAGAUGUACCAUUCUAUUAACACGGUGUUGAUUUUUUGUUGUACGAGAUAUGCUUUAAGCAUAUAAUUAAAAUAAAUCUCAAAAUUACACAAAUUUUAAUUUAAUAUACAAAAUAGCUUACAGCUUUGAGAAUUUAUCCCUUAAAUAUUGAUAUUCAAUAGAUUGAUAAAUACAGUAAAACUAUAGUCAAGCUAGCUUACUUGCAACAAAUGCAUAGCUAAGCUAAGACAGCUACAUCCAUUAUUGAUGCAUCAUCAUGCAUGGAUGUACACAAAAUUGGGAUCUAAGAUCCAACAACACGGGCAUUCAGACCUUCCAAACCAAAAUCCAGUGCUAACCAAUUCAUACAUAUUCACUCCUGCAGAACAAGCCUAAAGGUGAGAUUAAUUCGAGUCGUCUCUGCCUUUGCACGCUUAGGCACAGAGUGUAACCAGUCACGCUGAGUGUUCCCUCUCAUUACCAACAGAGAUCCGUGCUUGAGCAUGAACGAGUGUUGAUCAUCUUGGCUGCUCUUACUAGACCUCUUCAAUGGAGGUUUGUCAUCAGAUCUUCUCUCUAGCACAUUCACAACAAAAACAAACAUCAAUGGAAGUAAUAUUAAAAACCCAGUUUUCUACAAGGUUCAAGGAGGGCAAGCUUUUGCACCUUGGGAUGAUUUGCCACUUUUCUUCUUCAGGAUAAAAUCCCGUUCGCAUCCAAAGGAAACAGAAGCAAUUUCCGGGGUUGAUCCAUAGAGCUUCUCAUCAUCACUAUGCCAACCUACAUAGUCGUUACCCCCCUUUAUACCGAUUUAAAAGCAAGCUGUUAAAUGUACUGCCAGGAAGCAUUUUAUGGACCUUAAGAAGACAAGCAAAGACAUUAGAUCGUACUAGAGAAGGAACUAGGAAAACACAAGUGAGGUGAGAUGACCGCAUACUUACCGCAUCCAAAAUGUCCUCAAGUGGGGGGAAAUUAUCCCAAGAAUGAGCAUGAGGCUGAUAUCCACUGUAAAUCAAGUCCGGCAACCCUGCACUUGCAACAUAACAUGUGUCUCUAGGCUGCGUGCAUAAGGGAAUAUGCAAAUUUCAACAGGAGAAAAAGAUAACAUGAGUUGUUAGUGGAAAUCAUGCAUGUUAAAAGGUAUCAUAUUACCAACAAUCCAUGCUUAAAAGAACAUGCGUUUUCUCUAAGGCAAAUCUAUAUCGGUUUGUUUACAUACCCAUCAAUACAAAACUGAAAUGGUGAUCCUAUGCAUGUUAAAAGCUUGCAUUACCAACCAUCCAUGCUUAACAAACAUGCCUUUUUCUCAAAGGGAAAUCAAUAUCAGUUUGUUUAUGUACCCAUCACUACAACAAACUCAAAAACUGUAGCGAUCAUCAUCAAGAUAAAGAAUUGUUCAAAGUUGAAUUAGAUGAUGAUACCAAACUAACAAUUUCGAAGGCAACAUUGAGAAAAAUACAAUAAAAAGGCAAAACAGGGUCAUGCAUAACCAACACAAAAAGGGAGCCUAUACCAUUACUCUUUUACCUGCCACUACCAAACAAAGUAAAACAUUCCAAUCUAAUAAGUGAUGAAACUAAACUACCAAUGCCUGUUGAAUCGAGUAGCAAGGAAAGCCCAAUGCCCCAUAAAAUAAGGUUUUAGGUUGUGUCCUGCCUUGCCUCCUAAAAUGAAGUCCUACCCGACUCGACUUUGAAUUUAGUCAUGACCCUUGUCACUUCACAAUACCAAAGGUCAAACAACCCCCCCCCCCCAAAAAAAAAAACCAAAAUAGAACACUAAACUAAAUAGCUAAAUUCCUGAAAUGAGAUUCGACCCAACUCGACUUUGAAUUUAGCUAAGACCCUUAUGACUUCAAGAUACCAAAGGUCAGUGACCCCCACUCCCAAAUAAAACACUAAACUAAACUGAUGGUAGCUAAAUUCUCGACAUAAGGUCCGACCCGACUCGAAUCCAAAUUAUACAAUUAAAAAACGUCUCUUUCUUCAUCAAAUACGCUAUACUAGUAAUCAAGAAUUAGUGGCUAAAAGAACAUAUAAAGAAAGCUUCCCUCCACAACCCAUACAUCAAAUUUUUGAGUAAAUUACAGGGAAUUUAUAAGAACCUGAGUGCAAGAUCGGCCAAAGACGCGAAGGGUGGGUCUGGUCCAAGGGAUGUGAUUGUCGAGGUAAUUGAAGAAUUCCCAGGCGACAUCAUAUGCUAAAAACCUGGGAACGUAAAUUACACUGCUUCCGUUUCCAAGAUCGACAGUUCGGCUCUUUUUAGAGUCAUCUUUAGGGUUAGGGUUAGGGUUCGCCUUCAACAUCAAAUUCAUGGAAGUAAGCAGGUAGGCUUAAAAACAACCCGAAUCUGGUAAAAUUAAUAGCAUUUGUAAGUUUACAUUAAGAAAUUUUGUAUAAAUUCGGUAUGGGGUGAUAUGAAAAUGGAUGCAUUCAGUGAUUUUAACUUAAUUAAGCGCCGAUUCCAAAAAUCUUCCAAAUUAAGAAUGGCUCCAAUUUUCCACAAAUUAAUAAAGAUGGAUUUACCAUUACUACACGGAGUUAACCUUCAUAGAGGAGGGUGCUGCCGAUGUUGCAACCCACUGUACAUAGGGACACGUGUACGGUUGGCAUGUGGGGGUGCAAUGCAUAUGCUCGUAUAAUUAUUUGCACCUCUUAAAGACCUACCCCCGGCCCAAUAAUAAAAUGGUGGAAUUUGUUAAAAGUCCCUAUACUAUGUUUUGGUCAUUGUACUCUAAUUCGAUAAUAUUUAAUCUUUGUAUUUUUUUAAUAUUAAAAUUUUACUUCUGACCAAAUGACAAUCAAUAAAUUCAUUUUUAUUAAAUUAUGUAAUUUUCAAAAUCUUACCUCGCAAACAUAUCACAUGAGUAAUGUUAUAUAAUAUUCACACAAAAAAAUCAUCAUUUUAAUUAAUGGAUUUAACAUAAUUUGUUUUAAUUAUGAUUAAAGUUUCGAAUAUGAAAAAUAUAAGAAUUGACUUUGAUUAAAUUAGAAAACAUUAAUUGAAUCUAAAAUUUAUGCAUAAUACGAAUUUAACUUGUCACUGUUUUAAAUCAAAAUUGAAAUUAACCAAUUUAAAAUAAAAAAAUUCUAAACUAAUGAGAAAAUUUGAUCAAAAAAAGUAUUAUUACAAAAAUACUUACUUUUGAUAUUCUUGGGUUAAUUCAUCAUACAUCCUCCAAUUUUGGAAGAAAAUUAAAUUAAUCAUUAAACUUUAAAAUAUUUUAAUUAAGUCCUUAAAGUAUCAAUAUAUCUUUUGUUAGCCUGGACAUUAGCUUAGAUGUUACAAGUUCAAAUAUGACUUUAGCAUAUUUAGAAUUUGAUCGAAGUGUAGAUGUAUAUGUAGCAAUUAAAUGAAUAAAAAUAGCCCUCCAAAUUAUUGAUUAUUUUUUAAUAUGUCAAUUUAAGUUAUCCGUGCGUUAAACUUUUUAAAAAUUAUCCAUAUGAUAAGUACAUACAUUUAUAAUUUAGUCCAUACAUUUUAAAUAUGCUCUGAAUUAACAUUUAAUGUUUGACUAAGAGACAGAUGUUAUUAGGGACGAAACCAUAUAAACUUCUUUAUAAGGAGCUAUAAAGAGGGGCAAAAUGAAAUUAUGCCAUUAUAUAAGCUUACAAUAUUACAAAUUUCAAUUAAAGAUGUUAAAGUGAAAUAAAACCAGUUUAUUAUAACUUUUUAUCAUGUCUACUCUUUUUGAUAUAAUGUCUAGAAUUACUUAUAACUCGUUCUUAAUUCUUAAAUAAAAAGAUAAUACGCUUAAUUCUUAAAUAAAAGGAUAAUACGCUUCCUCGCAAUAAUAUUAAUUUCAAUUGAAAUAAGACUCGCACUCUAUAAUUUAGAAAUAGAUUCACUUUUUAUGAUAUAAUUUAGAUUGUAAGUUAUAAGAAGGUGAGAUGUACAUAACAUGAUCAUGAUUUGUUAAUCAACGCCAGAUCAUACGGAUGGCUUUGAAAGUCAGCAAUCGAAAGCUGCUUUGCAACCUCCCUCGGUCAUAAUAACGACAAUCUUUGUAUUUGAUUCUCCGCGUGUCUCUUUUCUAUUGGAUAGUUGUCGGCGCACUAAACUCCCCACCCUCCAUGCUUUAACAUAAGCUUUAACUUAUAUACCAAACCCACUAUUAAUAAUUUAUUUAAUUAAAUCUUAAUAUUUUUAUUUACCCAAAAAUUAAAUAUUAUAUUAUUAUUUAAUACAUUGCUUGUGUCUUAUUUAUUUAUUUAAUUAUUUAUAUAUUUUGAUUUAAUAUAUAGUGUGAUGCCAGUAUUUACGUUUUUAUUUUUUUAAUAUUGUAUAUGUAUUUGAUAAAAGUUAUAUAUGGUAUAUAAAGAUAAUAAUGUUAACUUUUUAGUGUUUAGUUCGAGUUUUAUAGUUAUUUUUAUGAAAAUUCAUAAUUAGCUAAUAAUAUUAACAACUAACUGUUGAUUGAGUUUUAGUUCAAUUGCCAUCACUAUUAUUGUCAGGACAGGAAGAUGUAGGUCAGAGUGUACUGAAACACAUAAUUAACUUAAAAAAAUUAAAUUAAACAUUAAAAAGUUAACAAAUUUAACUUUGUAUAUAAAAAUAUAUAAUUUUUAUCAAUUAUAUGCACUACAUCGAACCAAAUAAAUAAUAUCCUAGUUGUUUUUUAUUCUUUAAAUAUAAAUUAACUAAUUUAUAUAUACGUACAAUGCACACAUUUAAUUAUGUGUAUCAAAUAAAAAAUAUUAAAUUAUUUUAUAAUUUAAUCUCUGUGCUUUUUAUUUUAAAAUAAUAUUUGUAAAAUAAAUCUUGAUUAUUUGUGAUUUUAUUCUUUUAAAAUGAUAUAAAAGUUUUAUUAUUUAAAUUUAAUUUAGUGAAAUUUAAUUGAGUAUUGAUAUAAAUAAAUGAUAUUAAAAUAUAUACCAAAUAUUUACAAAUCAAACUGAAAGUUUUAAAAAUAUUUUAUUUCAUAUUUAGAAUUUAAUAAAAUAUUGACCACUUAAAUACCCAAGUUUAAUAUUUAUUUAAAGGGAGUAAUUAAUAUUGAAUUCAUUUAAAUGGAAAAUUGGUGAUAUACUUCAAGACUGGUUUUUAAAUAUAUAUUAUAAAUUUUGAUUUUGAUUCGAUGAUUUUAAUGAAAAAUAUGCAUUAAAUUUGAUAUAUUAAUAUUAAUGGUAAAAAAUUAUAUUUAAAACAUAAUUUAGAAAACGAGAUUUACUUAGGAAAAAACUUCAAAAUUUUUAUAUGUGCUUGAUGACGGAUUUUUAGUAAAACUUUCUAAAAUUAAAUAUUAUUUUAAAUAAGAAUUAAUUAUAAAUAUUUUAAAUAAAUAAGCUUAAAUUCACUUUAACGUAAGCUUUUAAUUUAUAUAUAUAAGACUCUCUAAGUAUCAGCCAUUCGCUCUCUUUAGUAUUAUUUUCUAACACUUUUGCAUUUGCUUCUUUCUUUUUCACACCAGAUCUGGGGAUCCAGGCUAUGGCUGAAAAGGUUCCUAAAAUCUCAUCCUUUUUCUCUUCAACAUUUAAAAUCCGAUACCCAUUUCUUUUUUUUUUAAUUUCUUUUAUUGUUUUUCAUGCUCCUCUGUUUCCAAUUUCUCUUUGUCUCUGUUAACCAGAUUUGUUAGCUAAUGCUAAUGAUUCAUGUAAAAUUUUUAUUUUGUAGGUGACGAUAAUGGUGCUGAAGGUCGACCUUCAGUGUAGUAAAUGUUACAAGAAGGUCAAGAAAGUGCUCUGUAAAUUCCCUCGUGAGUUUUCUAUUUUUGACUCUUUUUUUUCAUGGUUUUCUGCAUAUUAGUUGUAACAUUUUUAAUUAUUUGUUCAUUGAGAUUAACGGUGAGAAAUGGUGUCUGAGUUGAUUUUUCUUUUUUUUUUUUUGUGAACAAGAGAAAUACGAGACCAGAUAUACGAUGAAAAGGCUAAUACGGUGACCAUCACGGUGGUAUGCUGUAGCCCGGAGAAGAUCAGGGACAAGUUAUGUUACAAAGGUGGUGGAUCCAUCAAGAGCAUUGAGCUCAAGUCGCCGGCGAAACCCAAGGAAUCGGAGAAGAAACCCGACAAACCUAAAGAAGCCGAGAAGCCGAAAGAAGCUGAGAAGAAGCCGGAAAAACCCAAAGAAGCUGAGAAGAAGCCGGAAAAACCCAAAGAUCCUGAGAAGAAGCCGGAAAAACCCAAAGAUCCUGCUCCUGAGAAGAAGCCGGAAAAACCCAAAGAACCUGCUCCUGGGAAGAGACCGCCAAAGCCCAAAGACGGUGGUGAGACGAAACCGGAUAUACCUAGAGAGGUGGCGUCGCAGCAGAAUGUUGCGGCACCUUCUCCUUUACCGCCGAUGACGUAUGCAGUUGGGUAUACUUGCUCCGAGGGUUAUUAUAAUGGUUAUGGUGGAGGACCUAGCUAUUAUGGUGGACCACCCCAACAACCGUUCCCAUAUUACGAGACUUACGGUAGGCCUGUUUAUGACAGCUGGGGUGGCGGCGGCGGUGGCUACUACAGGUACGGCGGCCGUACCGGUGAAUGUUUUAGUGAAGAAAACCCUCAAGGUUGCUCGAUCAUGUAAAAAAACCGCGGGAAUUCGUUAUACUAUAAUGGUAAUAAUAAAUUCUCUUGUCUACUGGUGUAUGAAUCUGGGGGAGUCAUUUUGUGGAUUUUUAUUUAUUUCUAGUUUUAUUGAGUUUAUAAAAGUCGGUAAAGAUCAUUAACAAGGUUGGUGGCGUUGGUGGUGGCGGCGACAACGGCGGCGGUAGUGGUGGUGUGCUCCAGGCUUGCAAAAAGUUUGUUUACCAUAGUUUUAAAUUUUAAUAAAUAAAAAUGAUGUAUCUUUUUAUCUGUCAGAGUCUUUUGUUUUUAAUUAUAUGAAGGAAUUCAUUUGACAACAAAAUAAUCAUGGAAGGAACCUUCUCAAAUGUAAACUUAGAUUAUAAUAAUGUAGUAUGCUUAUUAAUUUUACAAUCACCAAGUCUAAAUGAAGUAUUUUUUAUUAUUUUAAUUUUCUAUUUUUGUCUUUUAAUGAGAAUUAAUAAUUUAAUUCUAUUGUUAAUUAUUGUCAUUAUAGGAAAAUGUAGAUUGGAGUGCCUAGAGUUUUAUUUAAGGGUUAAAAGAGGGAUUAUGAACCAAGAUCACCUUUGUUUUUACCCUUGUAAAGUUCAUGACUGCCUUCUUAACGAUUUCACCUCUAAAAUUUGAAAUGCAAAGAGUGUUAUAUUACACCUAACACUUAUCGAUAUUUUAAGUUAGCAUUUUAAUUUAUCAAGUAUUACUCAAUUAGAACUAACUUCAUUUUUCAAAAAUACAAGAGAGCAAGUUUUGAUAAUUAAAACACGACAAUGAACUUUUGAAUUUUUGUAAAGUAGAGGGAAAAUUUCGUAAUUAUACCUUAUCUUUAAGAAGCUUUGCAAAAUGUAUGAUAAUAAUAUAUAUAGAGACAUAGUGGUUCAAAAACAAAAAGCCAAAUCAAUUGGAUAAUAAUGGUACCAAAGCAUCCACGAGACAAUGUCACUAACGGUGGGCGCCUCCCUAUGGUUAUCCGGUCCCCAAACAGGCGGGCGAUGGCGUCAAAAUUACCAAUCUAGCGCUUAUCCUUAUAUAGAGUAGGCAACCUAGCUUAACCUAGACACUCUUAGUUUCCUCCCAUGGUUUCAAAUCUUAAUACACUCCAAACUUUAAUUAUUGAGAUAGAAAUCGAGUUUGAUUUGAAUUUUGAUUAAGUUGAUUUAAUUUUUUUUAAUUGAAUAAUAAUAAAUUUUGAUUUUUAUAUAUAUUGUUAUAAUGCAAUUGAGAAUUGUUUAGUACGAUAAUUUACACUAUAAGAAUGCGAAGAGCUACUGAAAUGGUUGCGAUUUAUAUUGUGAAAGUGUGAAAAGUCAUUGUUCUUGGUGAUUGGAGGAUGUCGAGUUAGUAUAUGUAAAGGAGAGAAUUUUGCUUAAUUUAAGAAUAUUUUUCAAAAGUGCUUUUAAGGAAAAAAAAAUACUUAUGAGAAGAAGUUAAAAUUUACAAUUUAAAAAAAAAAAAGAUUUUUUGGGUCAAUUUUUUAUUUGGAAUAAGCAUUUUUUUUUCUCAAAAAAUUAAGAAUACUUUUGUCCCAAAUUUUUUUUUUAAAAGCAAUACAAAAAUGACCUUAAAUUGGCACAGUAUAUUUAAUCAAUUUUGGUUUGAGCAGGUUCAGCAAUUUUUUUUUAUUAUAUGUUUGAUUUUGUUGGUGUAAAAUAAAUCUUAAUUAUUUGUGUUUCGGUUCUUUUAAAAUGAUAUAAAAGUUUUAUUAUUUAAAAAUAUUUAAUUUAGUGAAAUUUAAUUGAGUAUUGAUAUAAAUAAAUGAUAUUAAAAUAUAUACCAAAUAUUUACAAAUCAAACUGAAAGUUUUGAAAAUAUUUUAUUUCAUAUUUAGAAUUUAAUAAAAUAUUCACCACUGAAGUACCCAAGUUUAAUAUUUAUUUAAAGGGAGUAAUUAAUAUUGAAUUUAUUUAAAUGGAAAAUUGGUGAUAUACUUCAAGACUGGUUUCUAAAUAUAUAUUAUAAAUUUUGAUUUUGAUUCCAUGAUUUUGAUGAAAAAUAUGCAUUAAGUUUGAUAUAUUAAUAUUAAUGGCAAAAAAAUCAUAUUUAAAACAUAAUUUAGAAAACGAGAUUUACUUAGGAAAAUACUUAAAAUUUUUAUAUAUGCUUUGAUGACGGAUUUUUAGUAAAACUUUCUAAAAUUUAAUAUUAUUUUAAAUAAGAAUUAAUUAUAAACAUUUUAAAUAAAUAAGCUUAAAUUCACUUUAAGGUAAGCUUUUAAUUUAUAUAUAUAAGGGAUGGUUUGGUAAUACUUUUGAAAAGUGAUUUUCAAAAGUAUUGUAAAAAAAUAUUUUCGGAAAGUUUAGUUUAAAAUUUGAGUGUUUAACAUUGCUAUCAAAAAAUAUUUUUGAGAAAUAAAAUGUCUAUUUUAGACAUGUUAUUAUUAAAGAAUAAAUAUGUAUUUAAAUAAUAUUUAAAUUAGUUAAUAUUAUUAUAUUUUAGUAAGAAUAUAAAAAAAUUAUUAUAAUUUGUUAAUUUUUUAAUAUAUGAAAUAUAAAUUUUAAAUAUUUUUAAAUAAUAAAUAUUAAUUAUUUAUAAAAUUUAAAGAGAAUAUAUAAACUAUAUUUUAAAUAUUUAAAUAUAAUCAUUAAAUAUUUAUAAUUAAUAUUUUAAAAAAUAUUUUUUAAUUAAUAAUUUUAAUAAAUUUGUACUAAAAGAAAAAUACUAUGUUAUUAUAGUGGUGAAAAAUUAGUAAGUAAAAGUCUUUUCGGAUAGUAAAAAGUUAAAAAUUUUAACUUUUACUUUUUAGAAAAGCCAAAUAUUAUUAAGCAUUUCAGAACAGUAGCUAAGCCUAAGUAUCAGCCUUUCGCUAUCUCAGUACUAUUUUCUAACACUUUUGCAUUUGCUUCUUUCUUUUUCACACCAGAUCUGGGGAUCCAAGCUAUGGCUGAAAAGGUUCCUAAAAUCUCAUCCUUUUUCUCUUCAACAUUUAAAUCCGAUGCCCAUUUCUUUUUCUUUUUUUAAUUUCUUUUAUUGUUUUUCAUGCUCCUCUGUUUCCAAUUCCUCUUUGUCUCUGUUAACCAGAUUCGUUAGCUAAUGCUAAUAAUUCAUGUAAAGUUUUUCUUUUGUAGGUGACGAUAAUGGUGCUGAAGGUCGACCUUCAGUGCAGGAAAUGUUACAAGAAGGUCAAGAAAGUGCUCUGUAAAUUCCCUCGUGAGUUUUCUAUUUUUGACUUUUUUUUUCAUGGAUUUCUGCAUAUUAUUUGUAACAUUUUUAAUUAUUUGUUCAUUGAGUUUAACGUUGAGAAAUGGUGUCUGAGUUUAUUUUUCUUUUUUCUUUUUUUGUGAACAAGAGAAAUACGAGACCAGAUAUACGAUGAAAAGACUAAUACGGUGACCAUCAAGGUGGUAUGCUGUAGCCCGGAGAAGAUCAGGGACAAGUUAUGUUACAAAGGUGGUGGAUCCAUCAAGAGCAUUGAGCUCAAGUCGCCGGCGAAGCCCAAGGAACCGGAGAAGAAACCCGACAAACCUAAAGAAGCCGAGAAGUCGAAAGAAGCUGGGAAGAAACCGCCAAAGCCCAAAGACGGUGGUGAGACGAAACCGGAUAUACCUAGAGAGGUGGCGUCGCAGCAGAAGGUUGCGGCACCUGCUCCUUUACCGCCGAUGACGUAUGCAGUUGGGUAUAAUUGCUCCGAGGGUUAUUAUAAUGGCUAUGGUGGAGGACCUACCUAUUAUGGUGGACCACCCCAACAACCGUUCCCAUGUUACGAGACUUACGGUAGGCCUGUUUAUGACAGCUGGGGCGGCGGCGGCGGAUACUACCGGUACGGCGGCCGUACCGGUGAUUGUGUUAGUGAAGAAAACCCACAAGGUUGCUCGAUC
rnacentral:lncRNA from 1 species